GAUGAAGAACGCAGCGAAAUGCGAUAAGUAAUGUGAAUUGCAGAAUUCAGAGAAUCAUCGAAUCUUUGAACGCACAUUGCGCCCCCUGGUAUUCCGGGGGGCAUGCCUGUCCGAGCGUCAUUACAACCCUCAAGCUCAGCUUGGUGUUGGGCCCCGCCGCCCCGGCGGGCCCUAAAGUCAGUGGCGGUGCCGUCCGGCUCCGAGCGUAGUAAUUCUUCUCGCUCUGGAGGUCCGGUCGUGUGCUUGCCAGCAACCCCCAAUUUUUUUCAGGUUGACCUCGGAUCAGGUAGGGAUACCCGCUGAACUUAAGCAUAUCAAUAAGCGGAGGA
rnacentral:misc_RNA from 1 species